rnacentral:lncRNA from 1 species
CCUGCGGGUGUGACAGAGCGGGGGUCUCGAGGGCGCAGACCGGUUUGUCCGCGAUGUGAGCUGGGGGGCCGGCCCAUAGCAGACCUGAGCCUCAGGUCCAUAAAAAGGGGGUGGUCGCCCUAAGAGAUGGUGGCUCUGCCGCAGCUAGGGGGCGAGAACCUGGCGGCGCCUCAGUUUCCCCAGAUGCACUCUGGGAGAGACUGAACCGAUUGCUCCCUGAAGGUCAACAGCUGGAGCUCUUUACUGAGUGCUGACUGCCCAGGCCAGGGCUGUGGCAGGGCGUCCUUUCGGCGGUGAGGCAGGCUGUGUGCCUCGCAGGCACAUGGUGACAUUCAGACAGCAGGCCACGUGAUGGACAGCAGUCGGGGGAAGGAGGGGGGCCCUGGAGUAGCGCAGAGCCAGGCCUGGGCACAGGAGGGCCAGUCACCUGGGGGCUGCCCCCACCCUCACAGCCUUUAUGGGUGGGCCGAUGGGAUCCCAGCUCUGCUCCCUGCCACUGUGGGGUCUUGAGCAAGAACUCUGAGCCUCUCCCAGGACUGGAGAGUGCCAAGAAGGGCCCCUUGGGGGCUGUCCCCCAGGACUCUGCCCCACCCCACCCAGAGACCCACAACUCCUCCCUGUCUGACUGGACUCCUUCUUGCUGCGGCUGGGUCCACUGUGGCUCCGAAGAGGUAGGAGGUUCUCUGUGCCUCUGUCUGUCUGUCCGCACCUCCAAGAGCCAGACCCUGCCCCACGGUGGUGGAGAGACACCUGUGCUGCCCACCUAUGUCUGCCUUGGGAGACAGCUGGGGGCCGACCGCGGGGAGGUGAGGAGCCUGGGGCCCAGAGAGGGGCAGGAACUUGCUCAAGGUCACACAGAGGUUUGUGGCUGAAGAGGAAUUCUGCCACAGGAUGAGUCACACCUGCACUCCGCCUAUUGGAGCCACGUGACGCUCGGAUGGGACCGGGCUUUAGACGUUAGAGCUGACGCGGGAGUGAGUUAAGACUUUGGGCUGUUGGGAUGGAAUGUUUCUGCGUGUGAGCAGGACAGGAAUUUGAAGGCCAGGCACGGAAUGCUAUGGCCUGAAUCGUGUCCCCCCCACAGUUCAUAAUUUGAAGCACUGACCCCAACGUGAGGGUGUUUGGAGGGGGGUGACUGGGGUUAGAUGAGGUUGUGAGGGUGGGCCCCCAUGAGGGGAUCAGUGUCCUCAAAGAAGAGACUCCAGAGCUGCUCUCGGCCACAUGAAGACCCAGCGAGAAAGGGCCAUCUGCGACUGGGAAGCGAGUCCAGCCCGGAGCCCGACCAUCCUGGCAGCCUGGUCUCAGACUUCCUGCCCCAGAGGGCAAGAGAGAUGUUUCUGCUGUUUAUGUCACUCGGUCUGUGGGGUUUUGUUAUGGCAGCCCGAGCAGACUGAGACAAAUGGCCUAAUGGCCACAGUUCAGAUCUUAAAGACCACGGCCAGGACGCCCCGAGAGACAGGUGCGAAGCCCCUCCUGACCAGAGGCUGAGCUCUGACCUCAGCCCAAAAGGGAGCCCUCACUAGGGUCAUAGUGUGAGCUUUGACCCUGUCACCAAAUAAGCUCUGAUCCUGGUCACACUCUGAGCCCUGACCCUGGUCACACUCUGAGCCCUGACCUUGGUCACCUUCUGAGUCCUGAUCCAGGUCACACACUGAGCCCUGACCCUGGAUACACAUUGAGUUCUGACCCUGGUCACAUGCUGAGCCUCAUCUCCUGUCACUCAUGCUUUGAGCACACACUGAAUACAGCCCCUGAGCCUGGAUCCUCUGGUGGUCCCACUUUCUGGGAAAGUCUGUCACAAAGGGGCACGAGUCCCUGCUGUCACUCCAUGCAGUGGACAGGGUCUGGGCAUAGCUUUGACGUGACUCAGCCUUAGCCUUCUUCCUUUCCUCUGCUCUGCAGUCACCUCUUGAACUCCAGAUUUUCUUGUUCUCUCUUGACCUAGCUACCUGUCCAACCCCUGAGGCCCCAAACCAGUUGGGUUCCCUGGAGAGCCUGCCUGUUCACACGGCCCAGGAGUUUCCCCACUCUUUGCAGGGUGUGAAGCUGGGGCUGGAAGGACCAGCAGUGGGGCCAGGCCCUGGGGGCAGCAAGGCAGCUGGAGGCAGACCCGUACCUCACAGGGGGUCCUUGCUAACAGAGGACCAUGAUCUCCUGGGGCUGCCACACAGUCCCACACUGGAAGAGAC